rnacentral:rRNA from 1 species
AGCUCCAAUAGCGUAUAUUAAAGUUGUUGCAGUUAAAAAGCUCGUAGUUGGAUUUGUGGUUGUUGCUAGUUGUUCUUCACUCAGUGUUGAAUUGUACGAGCGUCGCCAUCCUUGGGUGGAUCCUGUGUGGCAUUAGGUUGUCGUGCAGGGGAUGCCCAUCGUUUACUGUGAAAAAAUUAGAGUGUUCAAAGCAGGCUUAUGCCGUUGAAUAUAUUAGCAUGGAAUAAUAAGAUAGGACCUUGGUACUAUUUUGUUGGUUUGCGCACCAAGGUAAUGAUUAAUAGGGACAGUUGGGGGUAUUCGUAUUCCAUUGUCAGAGGUGAAAUUCUUGGAUUUCUGGAAGACGAACUACUGCGAAAGCAUUUACCAAGGAUGUUUUCAUUAAUCAAGAACGAAAGUA